rnacentral:rRNA from 1 species
UACGGAGGGUGCAAGCGUUAAUCGGAAUUACUGGGCGUAAAGCGUGCGUAGGCGGUUCGUUAAGUCUGCUGUGAAAUCCCCGGGCUCAACCCGGGAACUGCGUCCGAUACUGGGAGGCUUGAAUCCGGGAGAGGGAUGUGGAAUUCCAGGUGUAGCGGUGAAAUGCGUAGAUAUCUGGAGGAACACCGGUGGCGAAGGCGGCAUCCUGGACCGGUAUUGACGCUGAGGCGCGAAAGCCAGGGGAGCAAACGGG